rnacentral:lncRNA from 1 species
UCCUUACAUUGUUGAAAACCACCCCACCAAAAAAACCAUUUUGCUUAUAAACAUUGAUAUUUAUUAGAAAUUAAAAUGGAGAAAUUUCAUGAUGUUGUUUCUCCAGUUUGUUGCAAUAUCACCUUUCCGGUAGCCUCCGGAAAUCUCCAUUCUGCAUUCAUGUGCUCAUGAGAAUGAAAUCAACAAAUAACACCUUAGUAUCCAUAUAGAGAUAUUUUGGCUUGUGUGGACCUCCUACAAGGGUCAUGGGAGCCCCGAGAGUUUGUGGACCUCACUUUGAGAAUCACUGUUCUACAUAAUUCCUGUGGCUGUUUUUAACACCAUGGGCUUCUGUCUUCCUCCUACCUUCCUGGCUCCUGCUUCUUGUUAGGUUUCCAAGGGAAGGUGAGGGUUAAAGACACACAUAGAGCGAGAGGGCGGCUCAACAGCAAAUGCAGGUAUUUAUGUCCAGGUAAACCUGCCGAGGUGGAGGACCAGCUUAAUGCCAGUGCCCACCACUGCUUACAGGCUGGGAUACUUGUAGGUAUGGCAGGGAGGGGUCUGGGCAGUAUGGCGUGCUGCCAGGGAAGAUGUUGAGAAGACGUUCCCACAAUGAGGCAGUUGGGGCCUUGUUCCCACAGAAUGUAAUAAUGAUGUUCCUUGGACUUUUUCUCAGCAGAAUGUGUUAAAGUCAGGCGGUUGGGCAGGCAGGUUCUCAUGGCCCGAACCCUCGUGGAAUGUUUCACUUUGACCAAGGUCUGCAUAUUGGCAGGGAGCUUACAAAAUGGUGCAUUUUGGAUUAACAGGUCUCAGUCUUGGGCUCCUCGUUGUCUGACAGAUCCUAAAUCUUGGCCCCUGCUGUUCCAGGUUCUCUUCUCAUCAUGCAUGUUCUCUGGGUAAUUUCAUUCACUCCUAAGGCUUAAAACAUCAUCUCUCUGCUGAAGGCUUCUAAAUCUCUUUCCCUAGCUCGGAGCCCUUUUCUGAGAUUCAGAUCCAUGUGUAGUUUGAUCUGGUGGGCACUGGUACUUUUGUAUUCCACAGGUAUCUUUGGCAACUAUCUACUUCUUUCUAUCUUCAGGGCUAUUCUUUCAGGGUCAUUCUAGCAGUCCCUAGCAGAGUUUACUGUCCUUGUCCCCGCCUGCUUUUGGUCCAUUCUCCAUCAUUGUAGAGAGAUAUAUUUAAUCAAAUCUUCUCAUUCAUGAUUAGGUCAUGUCAGUGCCUUUCCAUUAGUCUUUGGAUAAAGGCUAAGCAUUUUAAAAUGCUUAAUGGCUUUUUGUGAUAUGACUCUUACCUAAAACUCUCCAGCUUGUGUUUUGCAGUUUGUCCCUUCUCUUGAACUUCAUCUUUCAGUCACACUGAACUUUCAGGCUCUCCUAAUGGCUAUGUGUUCUCAUCCUCUGGGCAUUUACCUCUGCUGUUCCAGGAAAUGGUCUUCAACAUCUUCAGAUACCUAGAAGGUUUGCCCCUCAGUGGGAAGAAAGCUUCCAACUCCCAGCGGUUCCAGCAGAAGUCCUGGGGCUGGAGAGCUGUUCCUGAGUUGCCUGUGAUCACAUACCACACCUGAUGGCAUCACUGUAUCCAGGCUCCAGGUGCAUAGAAUGUUGUGAGGUCAUGACUGCCAGCAUUAUGACCAGUCUUGGAACUAGGAUUGGGGUGGGGUUCAUCCCACCCAGACCACAGAGACUGAAAAUAAGAAAGGGGUGAGGCCUAAGGGACAAUCAGGAUGUUUUUCAGAGAGAAGUGUGGAUGCUGGACAGGAAGAACCACAGAUACCAGAUACGGAAAAGGAAGAAUCAACACUUUCAGAGAUGGAGCCUGUUGAGCCACAGUACCAACUAGUCAAUGCUGAAUCGACUUCUCCCUUUCUACAUUGCCUGAGAGAAGUCAUUGGGGAAUACUCUGUACACGAAUUUUCACUGUUGGGGAAAACAGAGAGUCAAGGGAUUGGAUUGUGGAUUGCAUUGGUGGUUUUCCUCAGUUUCCUCAUCUUCUCCACAAGUUUCUACAUAUCGAAUGCAGAGCAGCCCUUCUUCAAAGGACCUCCUACGGAAGCUGCUAAGGAACUCAGUCUGUAGCUCUGCGUGGAGCCAUGUGUAAACACUGAACUGAGACCUGCCACCUCCUACUACCUAAGGGCCCAUUUUCAUCUGAUAUCAUCCCCCAGAAACAAACUCAUGAUGACUUCCAUGUUUUUUUUAGAUUAGAUACAUGGAGAAUUUUCCUUUCCCUUAGAAUUAAAAUCCUGCAUUCUAAUUUUCAGGUAAAACUUUUUCGUCUCUACAGAACUCUCUCCAAGUGCACACCCAUAGAUUGGUUUGCUUGUGGAAUCCUAGCAUAUCAGAAAUGAAGGAAUCUCAGAAAUUGUUUUCAUCAAACACCUCAUAUGCAGAAGGCAAAAUGAAGGUUCAGAGCAGAAAUGAUUUGUCCAAGGAUGCAACACUCAUCUGCAGCAGAGGGAAGCUGAGCUCUGCAGACCCACCUAGCACUGCAGAGGCAGCCCUCUAGGACAAGGCUUCAUAAAAAAGUGACUUUAUGAGUUGGCUCCAUAAAAAAGAUACAGAUUAAGAAAUUGUUUAAACAGUGAUCUCUAUAUAAUUACUCUUUUAUUUAAAAGUAUGGGCUGGGAGCGGUGGCUGACGCCUGUAAUCCCAGCACUUUGGGAGGCCGAUGUGAGCAGAUAACCUGAGGUCGGGAGUUAGAGACCAGCCUGACCAACAUGGAGAAACUCCGUCUCUACUAAAAAUACAAAAUUAGCAGGGUGUGGUGGUGCAUGCCUGUAAUCCCAGCUACUCGGGAGGCUGAGGCAGGAGAACUGCUUGAACCCAGGAGGCAGAGGUUGUGGUGAGCCGAGAUCGCGCCAUUGCACUCCAGCCUGGGCAACAAGAGCGAAACUCUGUCUCAAAAUAAAUAAAUAAAUAAGUAUUCCU